CCACACCAAAACUCCAAACAUCACUCUUAUCCGUGAGAUGUCCUGUCUCAAUGUAAUCAGGAGCAGCAUAACCAUAAGUCCCAACUACCUGAUCAGAAAAACAUAGACCUUGUUACCAUCAUCAGCUCUAUAAUAGGAUUUAAAGAAAGUACAGAGAAUACUAACGGCUGUCGAAACAUGAGUACGCCCAGCCAUCGGCCCCUCCCUUGCCAGCCCGAAGUCUGAAAGCUUUGGAUUGAAGUUCUCAUCCAAUAACACGUUGGAGGCUUUGAAAUCUCGAUAUAUCACCUUGCAUUAUCAUGAAACCAGAGAUUAAGCACAAAGAACCAUAGAUUCAAAUCCUGAAGAUAACAUGCAGACAACCAUAAAUUCACGACCAGCAAAGCAAAGAUAAGCUAAUCCUUCUGCUGCUCCGAGUGUUAUCUGCAAUCUUGUUUUCCAAGGAAGAGGAGGGUAUGCACGCCGGAAAAGAUGAUCCUCUAAGCUCUUAUUUUGCAUAAACUCGUAUACCAGAAGACGCUGGAUCCCUCUUUCUCCAUCAACAGCACAGUAUCCUAUGAGUUUGACGAGAUUGGGGUGAUCAACAACACCAAGAAACUGGACUUCCGCCACCCAUUGUUUGUGUCCCUAUACGGAUCAAACAGAACUAUGAAACAACAGUUCAUAGCAAUGAAAAACCUUUUAUCCUCUCAAUUAUCAAUCAAGAAGGGGAAUGAGGGUGAUAUCAACUAGUUUUCUUUGCAAAGGGGGACAGAAAUCCUAUUGGUGAGGGAGGGUGGAUUGCUCUUGCAAUGCAUAACAUGUUUUUCUUUUUUUCUCAUUAUCUUAUGCCAUAAUUGACUACUGAGCACAAUCAACAGUCCAUUUUUCCUUUUUGAUCAAAACUAGCUGUAUUAAGUUUACAUCACUAUAUGAACUAGCAGCUUCCAGGAAAA